rnacentral:rRNA from 1 species
GAUGAACGCUGACAGAAUGCUUAACACAUGCAAGUCAACUGUGGCGGACGGGUGAGUAACGCGUAAAGACCUUGCCUCACAGCUAGGGACAACAUUUGGAAACGAAUGCUAAUACCUGAUACUGUGAGGGAGCUUUGCGUCCCAUUAGCUCGUUGGAGAGGUAACGGCUCACGAAUGCGAUGAUGGGUAGCCGGCCUGAGAGGGUGAUCGGCAACAAGGGGACUGAGACACUGCCCUGACGCCGACGGGAGGCAGCAGUGGGGAAGAUUGGACAAGGGACCAAAGUCUGAUCCAGCAAUUCGGUGUGCACGAGGAAGUUUUCGGAAGGUAAAGUGCUUUCAGUUGGGAAGCGGGACCAACAGAAGAAGUGACGGCGAAAUACGUGCCAGCAGCCGCGGUAAUAC